rnacentral:lncRNA from 1 species
UUGCCAUACAAGUCUGUGGUAGCCUGGAAGAGAAGAUAUGGAAUACUGAAUGAACAAACCACACUGUUUGUACUCCCGACAACUCAAGGCAGGACACUGGAGGCCAUGGGGGACAGCUGCUUACCAGCUUGCUUUCCAUGGUCUGCUCAGCCUGCUUCUGUCUAGCACCUACAGUGAGCUGGACCCUCCUGUAUCAGUCACUACUUAAGAAAAUGUACCAUAGGCCUGCCUACAGGCCAUUCUGGUGAAGCCAUUAUCUUGAUGGUGGUCCUAUCUUUUCAAAUGUCUCUAGCUCAUGGUCAAGGUAACACAAAACUAGCCAGCACAGGUAGAGAUUAACCAUGCAGAAUCUCCGUUACCAACUUCCCAGCUAUACUGUGAAAAACGCUUUAACUAUAAACCGAAUAUGUACACUACAGAGUUAAAGAGGCAACAAACCAAGGGCAAAGAGGUCAUUCUUUUCCUGGGAUUCUGCAGACCAAACCCAGAGCCUUGUGAUUGGCAGGAAAGCACUUGACCACCGAGACAUGCCAUCUGCUAGUCUCUUUCCUUCUGUCUUGCCUAUUCUUUGAUGCCUUUUCAAGCAUUUACUGAAAAAAAUUUAGAAGUGGCCCACUGACAUUUCUAAAGAUUCAAAUAGAUGAGGUUUGUGUGUGAAGCAGAUGAUAGGCACUUGUGAAUGGCAAAGACUAUGCCAAACAAUGUGGGCACUGUUAAGAGUAGAGACCCAUCUCUUCAUCUCUUUCUCAUUUCCAUGGCUAUUAUAUUCAUAAAAAAGCCCCUUUGCAGAAUGUUAAUAGUCAAAGACAAAUGUAAGAACUGCCUCUCAGUGAUACUCACAGUCAGAUUCCUGUGUGUGGAUGAUAUCAUCUUUCCCAGGUGGGUUUUUCUUUAGAGUAAGUCAAAUAACUGAUAUAGAGGAGCCCUUUGCUUUUAUAUACUAUGCUGUCACUUACAAAGCAUCCCAAAACUGUCUAAAAAGUGUUAUCUUGAAACAAAGCCCAGGAAAAAGUCAAAUGAGAAAACAUAUUCCCCACUGCACGGUGCACUCUCCUCUCCAAAAUAUUUGCAUGCUGUUGUCUGAAGGUAAGCCAUGAAGAUUUUUUUCUUCCUUUCCAGCAAUCUUGGCAUGUGAUGCAGAGCCAUCCCACUUGAGAAGGCUGUUCAGUUGCAGGCAGGGAGGUUACAGAUGGAGCAAAGAGAAGGAUCCAGCUCUGAGGUGUGACAUUCUGAGGCAUGGUAAAUGACAGGAGCCGCCCAGGGAUGCCCUGUUUCAAUGAGAUCUGCACUGCAUAUGUGGACAGAGGCAUUUGUUGCAGACUUGCCUGACCCUUCCAGCUUUAGGUGCCAAAACACACCACAUCCACUGUCAUCUGGUCCUGGGUUGGAAGCAUGCUUUUUGUCAAUCAUGAGCCAUUUGGAACCCAGGCAACACAACUCCCCUUCAGCUAUCUGAGGACCUGCCUGAAUCACCCUACUGCCCUGGUCAUUCCUGUCUCCUCAAAAGACGUCCCUUCAGCUGGGCUACUUGGAUGUCUGCUCCUGCAGUAUUGAGAUAAGGAAGGCAUACAGUGUGGUCACCAAACAUUCACAUGUCCCUGUUAUUCCCUGAAAGGCUCUGGCAGAACAACGACAGAUCUUGUGCUGGCCAAGGGUUGGAUUGGAAAACAAUUUCUAUUUCAAGAGAACAAGAUAAUCAAAGGAUAAUUCUUGAGGGGCAUUGCAAUACUGGAAAUCCAAGAAUUUAGAAACGAAGCCACUGUGAAGAAGACCACACAUCACAGUGCACAGUGUUGGUAUGUGACUUUGCUGGUGACACCCACCAAAAUAAACUCCAGAGGCUAAGAGCAAGAUGUUCUCAAGACUCAGUUUACCUGUUGAACCAGUCAUCUGUGUAUCGAGGGUAUGGGUAGGGGUCAUUGCUGCUGAAGUCAUAACUUGCAUCAGCGUUCUGAAAGACACAAGGUAUCUCAGGUCAGUAAAGCUGCAAACACACAAGGUGAGCUGAUGCUCUGAACACAUCAUCUUAUCUCCUCCCUGGAGGGGGUGCCAGUGCUCUGCGUUAUUGCAUUUUGCAUAUGUUUUUAUGUAUAAUAAUUGCAUAUUACAAGGAUAGGCAUUUGCAAAAUUGUGACAGAGCUGGUGUCCCCCUAUUUCAAGCCUUAAAAGGCGUGGCAAAUGAGAGCCCUGUGUUCUCCAGGACUAGCUUCAUUUUAAGUUGGGGUAACCUUUUGUGUGUUAGGAAGCUCCACCUAGGGCUUAGGCUAAGCGUCUUUGCUACUUUUGUUCACUGGUGGCCAGAAUGCUUCAUUUCUCGCAUCAUGAGUGAGGCAGCGUUUAGUGUUUAAGUCCUGCUUUCUGCUGAAGGCUCCCUUUUAUAAGGCUACUUCAGAACUGGCUCAUUUAAGUCUUGUCUUUCCUCCCAAUGUGUUAACUUUUUUUCUCGUCCCCCACAGUGAGCACAGUUAACCUCAUUUAUUGUCUUUAUAACGACCAUGAAUAGUUCAAUGUAUGUCAGAGACAUGGAUAAAGAUGACUCAGUGUUGUCAUCCCUGCCCUUACGUCUCUUAGAGCCUAGUUGGGGGAACAAACGUCCAUCAACUGUUGAACAACGAAACAUGUAAUUGUACAUUUUUGUAGUCAUGUGCUCUUGCACCCUAUGAGAGUUAGGGGUGUGAAAUUCUGUCUUCCUGUAACUCCCCUUUUCCACUGUGAGACGCUUGCCACAUCAACUAAUCCAGACUCUGUCCAGUCAUCGCUAAGUGAUUUUAUACCGUCCUUAGGUUUCUAUUUAGUUUAUUUUUGCUCUAGGCCUAUGCUGAAAGAUGCCUACUGUUACUGAGUGAAUAAUACAGGCCUUCCCCAUUGCCUUCUCUGCCUUCCCAGGAAGGCUGGUCUGUGGAAAUUAUUUUCUCUAUUGUUUCUUCUUUGUUGAGUUUUGUAAGGAAAACUCCAGAAGGCUUCUUGACUCACACUUGGUUAAGAAAGCGAUCUUCCUUCCAUCUUCAGUGUUUCCUUGAUUCCACAGUCCUGAGACAUUUUAAGAGCUUUUAUGUGCUCCUUUAUGAGGUAAAAAAUACUUUGGUAUGUGACACACUCUAACUUGAAAAGCUAAUGUUUUGGUGUUGUUAUUCUUUGGGCAGGAUAUUGACUAAUUCCAGUUAUUUUUGUUUGACUUGUUGGGUGAUGAAGAGCUGCUAGCCAUCACUGUUUGCAGUGAUCAGAACUGUAGUACAGGCUCCAACUGUGAGAUGUGUAAUUCCAACAUAGGAAACUAUUUGCAACCUGGGAAGAUGUCAAAAGUAGCAGUCAAUUCCACAUCUUACCUUGUGCUUAAAGUAUAGAUAUAUGAAGAAUAUUAUAUCAAAAUAUCUUAUGAUAAACUUUCAAGGUAUGUAUAAAACCUAAGUGAUUUUCUUGCGUAGACUUGGGUCCCAUCCCCCAAAUAUCUUGUAUAUAUGUAACUAUUCUUAAGUAAAAAAUUAUCAAUCC